CUUUCUUGCCACUUCUCUUCUUAGUGGUGCUCUGCUGGAGUGUGUAAUGCGCUAACAGAAUAAUGUAGAACAUCAACCAAAGUCCUCUAACCGCCAUCAUAUGUUUGAAACGUCCACCAGCGAAAAUUCUAGAAGGUGUCAAUGCAGCGGCAGCAGCAGCAGAGGUCCUUCCAGCUCCGUGGUCUGGACAGACUGCUGUGUUUCACAAGAGCUGGAGAAACUUCUCCCAGUAAAAACAAAUGUUUUACAGAUGUUUCAUAGCCACUUGUGUUGCUUUUGAACUUUCGAGAGAAGAUGGGCGGACAGAAAGGGAGCAGGACUGUGCAGAGGUACCGAUAUCAGGAACACCAUGAAUGUGGUUCCAUAUGUUCUCAUGGUAUCAGUAAAUUACAUCAGGGCCGUACCUGCCUGCGUGCUACAUAACAUUACUUACAUAAUCCAGAUAAAACAGAUGAAACUCUAUCUUAAUGAAGAUAUAAUGACUGGUUUUUAAUACCUUUUAUUGAGUGAAGCCUAGAUGAUAUCAGUUGUUUUUCUGUCUGAGAGCCUGUUGUUUUCCUUGUGUCCAGGGGGUGGGUGUUUUAGGGUUUCUCCCAAAGUCCACAUCUGGAUCCUCUCACGGAGCUGUGGGUGGUGCAGAUGAUGAAGGGUAACUGAAGAAGAUUUAUAUUAAGUAGAAAGAUUGUUGUGAAUUUAAUUUGGUUUUAGUUUUCAUCCCAAAAUGGAAACCCCAGUGUUUAGUUUCAGUGAACAUGGCCAAAAAUGUAUGUGAUUAUAGUAGAAUGUGCCUUUAAAUCCUCGGUCCUAAAAAAAACUAUUGUGCUACAUCAUUAUUUUUAGAUAAUGUAAUGAAUACCACGAGGGAAAACCUGGAAUAGUUUGAAAACUCUUGAUUAGCAUGACGCUUGUAUAUAUAAAUAUAUAUAGCAAGAUAGUUACAAAUAUAUCCAAAUAUAACUAAUGACUAUACAUACGUAUAUACAUGUGUAAAUAUAAACAUAUGUGUAUGUAUAUAUUUUAUGUUUACUAUUAAGUUGUACUUGUCACUGAUUUCUCCUUGAAUUAAAAAAAUACAAAGACAGAGGGUUCAUCAAUACAUUUCAAAUAAACUAUUUACAAAAUACAAUAAUCAAUACAGUUAUUUGUGUAAAAACAAGUCAGUGGCAUUCACUGAAAAUCAUGUUAAUAUAUAAAAAAAGUUUAGGCAACAGCAAAGGCAGCUUUUUAGUAACAAUGCCCCGGACAUGGUGGACGCAGAGACAGAGCAGCGCCCCCCACAGGACAGACAAUGCGUGGGUCACAGUUAAAAGAUCAUCUAAAUGCAUAGUUAGUUUUAUAGCUUCAGUACAGAUAACGUCACUGAGGAGAGCAGCAGGUUCACAGACUGCGGCUGUUUGUUGAAGACCGUAUGUAUUAAUACUAGUUUAUGUGUUCGUCAACACAGUGAUACGGAGGUUAGUGCAGUUAGCAUUGGGAUCAGUCUCAUGUAAUACUGCGACAUCUGUGCUCCGUGACUUUGUGCAUUUGCUCACUGCUUAGUGGAUAAGAAGCACUUUAGAUACGAACAAAGCCCUUUAGCAUCACAGCUCUGCUGCGAUCAUGUCUCCAGCAGGUCACCUCAUCUAAUCUAAGUCAUGUUAGAAAUUCAUCACAACAUUUAAAUACAUCAAUAACAAUAAAAAUAAUAAUAAUAUUACAAAUCAAAUUUACAGGGACAGACAAAAAGAAAAAUCAGGUAAAGAAUGACCGAAGAUCAAAUCUGAGUUGAAAACAUGCAGGACAACAUUAAGUGUGCUUCAAGUUUUAAGUAAAAAAAAAAGAAAAAAAAAGAA